GUAGGAGUGAGCCUGCUCGCGAUGGCGCAGUGUCAGUCGGCAAAGAUGUUGCCUGACCCGCCGCCAUCGCGAGCAGGCUCACUCCUAC
rnacentral:misc_RNA from 1 species